GUGGUCCACCUACCGGUGGUUACUGCCUGUUCUGAACAGCCAGCCGGUUUCUCUUGAUGAUCUUCACCGGUUGUCUUGGGUGACCGGCAAGUUUACUUUGAAAAAAUUAGAGUGCUCAAAGCAGGCGUGACGCCUGAAUAAUGGUGCAUGGAAUAAUGGAAUAGGACCUCGUUUCUAUUUUGUUGGUUUUCGGAACACGAGGUAAUGAUUAAGAGGGACAGACGGGGGCAUUCGUAUUGCGACGCUAGAGGUGAAAUUCUUGGACCGUCGCAAGACGAACUACUGCGAAAGCAUUUGCCAAGAAUGUUUCCAUUAAUCAAGAACGAAAGUUAGAGGUUCGAAGGCGAUCAGAUACCGCCCUAGUUCUAACCAUAAACGAUGCCAGCCAGCGAUCCGGCUGUGUUCCUCAAAUGACACGCCGGGCAGCUUCCGGGAAACCAAAGCUUUUGGGUUCCGGGGGAAGUAUGGUUGCAAAGCUGAAACUUAAAGGAAUUGACGGAAGGGCACCACCAGGAAUGGAGCCUGCGGCUUAAUUUGACUCAACACGGGAAAACUUACCCGGCCCGGACACAGGAAGGAUUGACAGAUUAAGAGCUCUUUCUUGAUUCUGUGGCAGGUGGUGCAUGGCCGUUUUUAGUUGGUGGAGCGAUUUGUCUGGUCAAUUCCGAUAACGAACGAGACUCUAGCCUACUAAAUAGACGUUCCGAUCCUUAGUCGGACGUUCUUCUUAGAGGGACAAGCGGCGUUUAGCUGCACGAGACAGAGCAAAAACAGGUCUGUUAUGCCCUUAGAUGUCCGGGGCCGCACGCGCGCUACAUUGAAGGAAUCAACGUGUGCUUUCCCUCUCAGACAUGAGUGGGUAACCCGUUGAACCUCCUUCGUGCUGGGGAUUGGAGCCUGUAAUUGUUCUCCAUGAACGAGGAAUUCCCAGUAAGCACGAGUCAUUAGCUUGUGUUGAUUACGUCCCUGCCCUUUGUCCACACCGCCCGUCGCUAAUACCGAUUGAAUGAUUUAGUGAGGUCUUUGGAUUGGCUGUUCGUAGCGGGACGCAAUGUUCCGC
rnacentral:rRNA from 1 species